rnacentral:rRNA from 1 species
AACGAACGUUAGCGGCGCGCCUAACACAUGCAAGUCGCACGAGAAAGGGCUUCGGCCCCGGUAAAGUGGCGCACGGGUGAGUAACACGUAGGCAAUCUGCCCUUGAGUGGUGGAUAACCCUCCGAAAGGAGGGCUAAUACAGCAUGAGACCACGGUAUCCACGGAUGCUGCGGUCAAAGUAGGCCUCUCCACGGAAGCUUACGCUUGAGGAUGAGCCUGCGGCCCAUCAGCUUGUUGGUAAGGUAAUGGCUUACCAAGGCUAAGACGGGUAGCUGGUCUGAGAGGAUGAACAGCCACACUGGAACUGAGACACGGUCCAGACUCCUACGGGUGGCAG